rnacentral:rRNA from 1 species
GACGAACGCUGGCGGCGUGCCUAAUACAUGCAAGUUGAGCGAUGAAGAUUGGUGCUUGCACCAAUUUGAAGAGCAGCGAACGGGUGAGUAACGCGUGGGGAAUCUGCCUUUGAGCGGGGGACAACAUUUGGAAACGAAUGCUAAUACCGCAUAACAACUUUAAACAUAAGUUUUAAGUUUGAAAGAUGCAAUUGCAUCACUCAAAGAUGAUCCCGCGUUGUAUUAGCUAGUUGGUGAGGUAAAGGCUCACCAAGGCGAUGAGACAUAGCCGACCUGAGAGGGUGAUCGGCCACAUUGGGACUGAGACACGGCCCAAACUCCUACGGGAGGCAGCAGUAGGGAAUCUUCGGCAAUGGACGAAAGUCUGACCGAGCAACGCCGCGUGAGUGAAGAAGGUUUUCGGAUCGUAAAACUCUGUUGGUAGAGAAGAACGUUGGUGAGAGUGGAAAGCUCAUCAAGUGACGGUAACUACCCAGAAAGGGACGGCUAACUACGUG